rnacentral:rRNA from 1 species
AAGUCGUAACAAGGUUUCCGUAGGUGAACCUGCGGAAGGAUCAUUACCGAGUUCAUGCCCUUCGGGGUAGAUCUCCCACCCUUUGUAUACUAUACCUUUGUUGCUUUGGCGGGCCGCCUAGCUACUGGCUUCGGCUGGUAAGUGCCCGCCAGAGAACCCAAAACCCUGAAUUAUUAGUGUCGUCUGAGUAAAAUAUUUAAUAUUUAAAACUUUCAACAACGGACCUCUUGGCUCUGGCAUCGAUGAAGAACGCAGCGAAAUGCGAUAAGUAAUGUGAAUUGCAGAAUUCAGUGAAUCAUCGAAUCUUUGAACGCACAUUGCGCCCCUUGGUAUUCCGAGGGGCAUGCCUAUUCGAGCGUCAUUAUCACCCCUCAAGCCUAGCUUGGUGUUGAGACCUGCUGUCAAGGCAGUCUCUAAAAUCAGUGGCAGUGCUGUCAGGCUCUAAGCGUAGUAAAUUCAUCGCUAUAGACACCUGGUGGCCACUCGCCAGAACCCCCCCAUUUUUUAAUGAUUGACCUCGGAUUAGGUAGGGAUACCCGCUGAACUUAAGCAUAUCAAUAAGCGGAGGAAAAGAAACCAACAGGGAUUGCCUCAGUAACGGCGAGUGAAGCGGCAAAAGCUCAAAUUUGAAAUCUGGCUCUUUUAGGGUCCGAGUUGUAAUUUGUAGAAGAUGUUUCGGGUGUGGCUCCGGUUUAAGUUCUUUGGAAUAUUACAUCAUAGAGGGUGAGAAUCCCGUAUGUGACCGGCAGCCUUCGCCUAUGUGAAACUCUUUCGACGAGUCGAGUUGUUUGGGAAUGCAGCUCAAAAUGGGAGGUAUAUUUCUUCUAAAGCUAAAUAUUGGCCAGAGACCGAUAGCGCACAAGUAGAGUGAUCGAAAGAUGAAAAGCACUUUGGAAAGAGAGUUAAACAGUACGUGAAAUUGUUGAAAGGGAAGCGCUUGCAACCAGACUUGCACGCAGUUGAUCAUCCGGUGUUCUCACCGGGGCACUCUGCUGCGUUCAGGCCAGCAUCGGUUUUGGUGGUUGGAUAAAGGCCUUGGGAAUGUGGCUUCCUUCGGGGAGUGUUAUAGCCCUCGGUGCAAUGCAGCCUACCGGGACCGAGGACCGCGCUUCGGCUAGGAUGCUGGCGUAAUGGUUGUAAGCGACC